rnacentral:rRNA from 1 species
UUGAACGCUCGCGGCAGGCCUAACACAUGCAAGUCGAGCGGAUGAAGGGAGCUUGCUCCUGGAUUCAGCGGCGGACGGGUGAGUAAUGCCUAGGAAUCUGCCUGGUAGUGGGGGAUAACGUCCGGAAACGGGCGCUAAUACCGCAUACGUCCUGAGGGAGAAAGUGGGGGAUCUUCGGACCUCACGCUAUCAGAUGAGCCUAGGUCGGAUUAGCUAGUUGGUGGGGUAAAGGCCUACCAAGGCGACGAUCCGUAACUGGUCUGAGAGGAUGAUCAGUCACACUGGAACUAAGACACGGUCCAAACUCCUACGGGAUGGUGCAGUGAGGAAUAUUGGACAAUGCGCGAAAGCCUGCUCCAGCCAUGCCGCGUGUGUGAAGAAGGUCUUCGAAUUGUAAAGCACUUUAAGUUGGGAGAAAGGGCAGUAAGUUAAUACCUUGCUGUUUUGACGUUACCAAAAGAAUAAGCACCGGCUAACUUCGUG